rnacentral:tRNA from 1 species
UCCCUGAUAGCUCAGCUGGUAAAGUGUCUGCCUGCAAUGCAGAAUACCCGGGUUUGAUCCCUGGGUCGGGAA